rnacentral:rRNA from 1 species
AGGUGCUGCAUGGUUGUCGUCAGCUCGUGCCGUGAGGUGUCGGGUUAAGUCCCAUAACGAGCGCAACCCUACCUUUAGUUGCCAUCAGGUAAUGCGUGGGGACUCUAAAGGAACUGCCUACGCAAGUAGUGAGGAAGGCGGGGAUGACGUCAAAUCAGCACGGCCUUACGUCCAGGGCUACACACGUGCUACAAUGGCCGAUACAGAGGGCAGCUACCUGGUGACAGGAUGCAAAUCUCCAAAGUCGGUCUCAGUUCGGAUCGGAGUCUGCAACCCGACUCCGUGAAGUUGGAUUCGCUAGUAAUCGCGCAUCAGCCAUGGCGCGGUGAAUACGUUCCCGGGCCUU